GAGCAAGGCAGAGUGGACAGCCUGGCUCAGGACUCACAGCUGCUGCAGUCUGAGGUCUGAAGACUCCAGCUUCUGGGUGGUAUUCCGCACAUGGAAUUGAAAACAGAGGGAACGUUGGUGGUAAUACUGUGACCCCCCUGCAACUCCCUUUUGGUGACAUACGUGAUGUAACUGAAACACUAUCGUUGGCAUAUAACUCUGAAACCAUAGAAAAUGAUGGUGAUCUUGAAGGUGGAUAGUCUUGAUUUUUAUCCACCCUGGUGGCCAAAUGCAUGUUUCAGAUUGCUUAGUG